GGAGUUUCAACAUCUGGAAAAUCGGUUGGAAACUGAAAAGAUCCGGGCAGCAAUGGUGUCAAAGUUGUGCAGAGUUGAAGGAAGAAACCUCAAAGACAGUGCCAGAAGGAUGCUGGACAGGGUUUUAAAAAAAAUUCCCUCAUUUCCAAAU